rnacentral:lncRNA from 1 species
CUUAUACAUAUGAACAAAUAGAACCAGCAGCCAACUAAUAAAGAAACUAGCAUGUGCUAUAUGACAGGAACAAUAACAUCUAUAAGACCAAGAUAAUUGCAAUGCUAGACCAACAGUAGCAUUGAAUGUGACAGUACAAGAGAAGGCAAAGUGGAAUGUGACAGCAGGUAGCUAUGAAUGGAUAAUGGGGGUUAGAAGAAGCUCUCUCUCUCUCUCUCCCUCCCCUCCAUGUUCCUGAUUAAACAAGAAUGGCAGCUGUAGAAAGUGUAGAAAAGCAGCUGCUGCUAAUGAGUACCCAUCAUCCUUGCCUGACACUACUUCCCGACAGAAGAGAAACACAAUGAUGUGCAGCAAAGUGCACAUGUAUGGGCCUUUCCAGACAAACGAACCAAGCAAAGAACCUGCAAAAAAAGGAGGUGGCAGCACAACAGAACCUCAUCACUGAUUUUGGGUAAAAAGGAGGUGGCAGCACAGCACAGCAGAAACUGAAUAAGAUUCGUCUCAUGAAUUUUUCUCCCGCGGGAACCAACCAGGGAGCAGGGGAAACAAAAAUCCUUCCUUUUCAACCAGGGGGAGGGGAUGGGGAUGAAAUCCUACCUACGACAGUCUCUAAUCGGCCCGAACAAGAAAGAUGUGAGAUUGGGUUCCAUGAAAUCCCUAUCCUAAACUGAUAACAUUACAAGUCGAGAAGGAAGAGGGGAGAGGAGGCGGAGCUCAC